CACAAAAUAGCUUAUAAUAUCAAAGCGUAGGUCUUUUAAACCUAAAAAAGUAUACUUACUUUUUGUGA
rnacentral:tRNA from 1 species